UUUUUUUUUAAAUUUCUAUUUUUUCUUGUUUUCUCGAUUAUCUGUAUUACAAUAAAAAUACGGAUUUUAGUAAUUUCACUGUACAACGAAGGUUAAAUAUAAAUAAUUACGAAUUUCAUACAGCCUAAAAUGAUAUAACGAUAAUAAGUCAAUUUUCCUUCGACGUCAAAAUACCAUAUUUUCAUCGUGUUUAACUUUUAACGCGUCCU